CACUGGAGAGCUAAACUCCAGCAAUGGGCUUUUAACCCAGAGAAAGUAACCCUUACUUCCAGUGA
rnacentral:tRNA from 1 species